AAACGUGGAGGGCUGUGGGAUAGGGCAAGUAUAGACGCACUUGCUUGUUCUCAAUGCGCCCUCGUGUUUCCAGCAGAUCGUUUUUAGGAUUGGUGCACUACUGCGAUAACAAGACCUAGAACUAGAAACCUAGAAACGUUGGUGCAGGUUGGAUUAGCUCUGGAAUUGAGGAUUUCCUCACGGUUUCAAAGGCCUCAAAAUUGCCAAUCGAUUGGCGGGGUCAAGAAUGAUUAAGAUGUCAUUGUAUUUUUUUUUUUUGUAGAACUUGAGUAUUUUCUUUCUUAGGUGAAGUUUAUUUUCCAUUAAGAAAAAUGAUAUUGCAAUAUGUUUUCUUUGGGAAUCAAUAUCACUAUAAAUCCACUCAAAUCAUUUGAUCCAGCAAGGCACUGUAAAUCCAUUCGAUCCAGUCAAUGGCACUUGUUACUAUGCUCUGUUGUUUCUGAAGUUAGUCAUUUGGUAGCGUAAUCUAUCAGUUCCGAAAUCCGUUGAUCAGAUGUGGGCUCUGUUUUAUAGGUACAUGGGAAUUUCUGAGUGUCUGAUCCAUUUGGUAUAUUGGUAUACUCUGAUGUUUGCACUACAGAUUCUUCUCUAUGGGCAGCAGAAUGGUGGCGGCACUUGCAAUACUAACUAGAAUGUACCAUUAGUUGUACCUCAUUACUUUGCUGCCGUGAACUCAUAUUUUCUUAUAGGAAAAUAGUUAUGCACUUACUGUAACCUUGAAUUGGGUGAUGGCUUACUUGAAAGUAUCAUAUCAAUUUCCUAACUCACUACAGGAAUGGCCGGAGACGCCGACGGCCAAACCCUACGCUGAGGGCAAUUUAUCGGGGCCGUCGGCGUACGGCCUCGCCGGGGCAGCGCCGGAAGACGACCGUCGGCGUAUACUUUCCGUCGGCGUAGAGGUUGCUACGCCGAGGGCAGCCGUCAGCGUAUACUUGCCCUCGGCGUAGACAUCGGAUAUAGGGCCUGCUCCAUCCGCGCCGUCACUGCCCUCUCACGGCGUCAGGUAAGACGCCGAGGGCUACCCUCGGCAUAGGGAUGGCCCACCUAUGCCGACGGCCACCCUCGGCAUAUAGCUUUUUUUUUCUUUUUUUCUUUUUUCUCUCUCUCAUAUUACUUUAUAUUAUGUUUCUAUUAUUUAUUUACUAGUAUGAAUUAUGUAAAAAAGGUUCUAUUUUUUAAGAAUUUGUAGAUGGCAUAUAUGUAGGUCCCACGGGUGACGCUCUUCGCAGACGGGUCAACCGGAGCCACUAGGCCCAACUUCUGCUAUCGAUGUACAUAUGUCCUUAAACAUUUAGGAACAAUUCCAUUGCUAACCCUAACUCCAACCCUAACCCUAACCGAGGCCAUUCCCGCCCUAGGGUUUCCCGCUUCUGCGUGCCAACUUUCUAUUUUGCGAACAUUUUGGUAACCCUAAACCUCACCCGGAUCCUCUCCCUAACCCUAACCCUAGGGGUAGAUCUGCGGGGUCCCCGCCCUAGGGUUUGGCUAACCUUGCCUGAACCCGGCGUUGACGAUUUCUGCAUGCAUGGGCUAGCACUUGGUAAAAUCCAGGAUCUGUAUGUGGAAACUCCCGCCACGGCUCAAACGGAGCCUAUUUUAUGGUAAAGUAUGCCCAACCUAUGGUUUCCAUGUACAUAUGUCCUAAACAUAGCAAAACAAAUAAAAAAGUGCACUGGUAAACCCUCGCACGGAGAAAGCUCUAGGGGUAGAUCUGCGGGGUCCCCGCCCUAGGGUUUUCCAAGAUACAGACCACCGGAGCGUCGGAAUCGCUGGAAAACUUGUGUGUGUCCACAUGGAAUGCAUAAAAGUGAUUUGAGAUGGUUUUAUAUCCUAGGCUACCCCCCAGGUGUGUCCGGCUUCUCGGACAGGGGGUUCCUACACUUAGGCAGAUUCUGCAUUUAUAGGGGGGAACUCCCUUGGAGGUGAACCGGAGAGAAACUUGAGAUCAUAUGGGAUGAUCCUUGUUUCCACAUGUACCUAUGACCUAACCAAGCUCAAAUGGAGGCAUAUGCCCACCGGGGGACCCCCGAUGGGAUGCAGUCAAAGGGGUAGACCGCGCGGUCAACAGAACUAGGGUUUCGUCAGAAAUCGAGCAUCGGAUCUAGGGAAUGGCCCCAAGACUUGUGCGUGUCCACAUGGAAUGCAUAAAAGUGAUUUGAGAUGGUUUUAUAUCCUAGGCUACCCCCAGGUGUGUCCGGCUUCUCGGACAGGGGGUUCCUACACUUAGGCAGAUUCUGCAUGUAUAGGGGGGGAACUCCCUCGGAGGUGAAUCGGAGAGAAACUUGGGAUCAUAUGGGAUGAUCCUUGUUUCCACAUGUACCUAUGACCUAACCAAGCUCAUUUGGAGGCAUAUGCCCACCGGGGGACCCCCGAUGGGAUGCAGUCAAAGGGGUAGACCACGCGGUCAACAGAACUAGGGUUUCAUCGGAAAUCGAGCAUCGGAUCUAGGGAAUGGCCCCAAAACUUGUGUGUGUCCACAUGGAAUGCACAAAAGUGAUUUGAGAUGGUUUUAUACCCAAGGCUACCCCCCCAGGUGUGUUGGCUUCUCGGACAGGGGGUUCCUACACUUAGGCAGAUUCUGCAUGAAUAGGGGGGGAACUCCCUCGGAGGUGAACCGGAGAGAAACUUGGGAUCAUAUGGGAUGAUCCUUGUUUCCACAUGUACCUAUGACCUAACCAAGCUCAAAUGGAGGCAUAUGCCCACCGGGGGACCCCCGAUGGGAUGCAGUCAAAGGGGUAGACCGCGCGGUCAACAGAACUAGGGUUUCGUCAGAAAUCGAGCAUCGGAUCUAGGGAAUGGCCCCAAAACUUGUGUGUGUCCACAUGGAUUGCAUAAAAGUGAUUUGAGAUGGUUUUAUAUCCUAGGCUACCCCCCAGGUGUGUCCGGCUUCUCGGACAGGGGGUUCCUACACUUAGGCAGAUUCUGCAUGUAUAGGGGGGGAACUCCCUCGGAGGUGAACCGGAGAGAAACUUGAGAUCAUAUGGGAUGAUCCUUGUUUCCACAUGUACCUAUGGCCUAACCAAGCUCAAAUGGAGGCAUAUGCCCACCGGGGGACCCCCGAUGGGAUGCAGUCAAAGGGGUAGACCGCGCGGUCAACAGAACUAGGGUUUCAUCGGAAAUCGAGCAUCGGAUCUAGGGAAUGGCCCCAAAACUUGUGUGUGUCCACAUGGAAUGCAUAAAAGUGAUUUGAGAUUGUUUUAUAUCCUAGGCUACCCCCCAGGUGUGUUCGGCUUUUCGGACAGGGGGUUUCUACACUUAGGCAGAUUCUGCAUGUAUAGGGGGGAACUCCCUCGGAGGUGAACCGGAGAGAAACUUGAGAUCAUAUGGGAUGAUCCUUGUUUCCACAUGUACCUAUGACCUAACCAAGAUCAAAUGGAGGCAUAUGCCCACCGGGGGACCCCCGAUGGGAUGCAGUCAAAGGGGUAGACCGCGCGGUCAACAGAACUAGGGUUUCGUCGGAAAUCGAGCAUCGGAUCUAGGGAAUGGCUCCAAACUUGUGUGUGUCCACAUGGAAUGCACAGAAGUGAUUUGAGAUGGUUUUAUACCCAAGGCUACCCCCCCAGGUGUGUCCGGCUUCUCGGACAGGGGGUUCCUACACUUAGGCAGAUUCUGCAUGUAUAGGGGGGAACUCCCUCGGAGGUGAACCGGAGAGAAACUUGAGAUCAUAUGGGAUGAUCCUUGUUUCCACAUGUACCUAUGACCUAACCAAGCUCAAAUGGAGGCAUAUGCCCACCGGGGGACCCCCGAUGGGAUGCAGUCAAAGGGUAGACCGCGCGGUCAACAGAACUAGGGUUUCGUCAGAAAUCGAGCAUCGGAUCUAGGGAUUGGCCCCAAAACUUUUGUGUGUCCACAUGGAAUGCAUAAAAGUGAUUUGAGAUGGUUUUAUAUCUUAGGCUACCCCCAUGUGUGUCCGGCUUCUCGGACAGGGGGUUCCUACACUUAGGCAGAUUCUGCAUGUAUAGGGGGGAACUCCCUUGGAGGUGAACCGGAGAGAAACUUGGGAUCGUAUGGGAUGAUCCUUGUUUCCACAUGUACCUAUGACCUAAACAAGCUCAAAUGGAGGCAUAUGCCCACCGGGGGACCCCCGAUGGGAUGCAGUCAAAGGGGUAGACCGCGCGGUCAACAGAACUAGUGUUUCGUCGGAAAUCGAGCAUCGGAUCUAGGGAAUGGCCCCAAAACUUGUGUGUGUCCACAUGGAAUGCACAAAAGUGAUUUGAGAUGGUUUUAUACCCAAGGCUACCCCCCAGGUGUUUCCGGCUUCUCGGACAGUGGGUUCUUACACUUAGGCAGAUUCUGCAUGAAUAGGGGGGAACUCCCUCGGAGGUGAACCUGAGAGAAACUUGAGAUCAUAUGGGAUGAUCCUUUUUUCCACAUGUACCUAUGACCUAACCAAGCUCAAAUGGAGGCAUAUGCCCACCGGGGGACCCCCGAUGGGAUGCAGUCAAAGCGGUAGAUCUGCGGGGCUCCCAGAUUAGGGUUUCUUCUACCGGUGGGAAUAUUGAUGCGCCGAUAGGGUAACUAUUGAUACUACAUGUUCCGAUGACCUAACACAACACAAAGGAAGAGAAAAGUCCAUGGGUCAGCUGUCAUCGGAGGUCGGUCAAAGGGGUAGAUCUUCGGGGCUACCGGAUUAGGGUUUCGUCUACGGGAGAAAAUAUUAAGUUAAGAUGGUAAUUUUUUUUAUGCGCAUAGCUUGGGAAUGUAGAAGAUUAAAACAAAUUUAUAUGGACCUAUAUUAAUAUAUUUUAAUUUCAUAAUUGACAUUAAGAAAAUUUAAAUAAAAAAUAAAUUGAAAAAGAAAAAAAGGGGUCUAUGCCGAGGGCUGCCGUCGGCAUAGCCUGGCCCUCGGCAUAGGGGUUAGGGUUUGGGGUGCGGACAAGGUCGGGUCGAGCCGGACCACGCGCCCGAGCCGCACCCCUUUUUUCCCCAUCUCCUCCCCCCACGCGCCCGAGCUUCCCCCCGCCUAUAGCUUCCCCCGCGCCGCCGCCUGCUAGCUUCCCCCGUCGCCCCCUACUCGCACCGCCCCCUUCUCGCGCCGCCGCCCGCCCCUGCUAGCUUCCCCCGCAACCCCGUGCUACCUCCCUGCUCGCGCCGCCGCCGCCCCUGCAUGGGCUAGCACUUGGUAAAAUUCAGGAUCUGUAUGUGGAAACUCCCGCCACGGCUCAAACGGAGCCUAUUUUAUGGUAAAGUAUGCCCAACCUAUGGUUUCCAUGUACAUAUGUCCUAAACAAAGCAAAACAAAUAAAAAAGUCCACUGGUAAACCCUCGCACGGAGAAAGCUAUAGGGGUAGAUCUGCGGGGUCCCCGCCCUAGGGUUUUCCAAGAUACAGACCACCGGAGCGUCGGAAUCGCUGGAAAGCUUGUGUGUGUGUCCACAUGGAAUGCAUAAAAGUGAUUUGAGAUGGUUUUAUAUCCUAGGCUACCCCCCAGGUGUGUCCGGCUUCUCGGACAGGGGGUUCAUACACUUAGGCAGAUUCUGCAUGUAUAGGGGGGAACUCCCUCGGAGCUACACGCGUCUCAAGCAUACCCUCACCGCCGACAGCCCCCAGCCUCGUCCACGGCCUGCUCGUCCACCCGCCUACGAUCCUGAGUUCGAGGCGGCCUUCGACGCCUGCAAUGAAGCGUAUCAACAGGCCGCUGCCCAGUGGAAUAGGCAGAAUACGGCCUACAUGGCGUAUAUAGGAGAAAUGAUGAUUUCUAUGUCUACUGGUACACCGCCACCGGCUCGAGUUACCGUGGCGGGGGACAUGCCUAUCAUGCCAUCGAGGGCAGCUUUCGGUGCGACUUACUACGGAUCCACACCGGAGGGAACGGGAUGCUCCGGGAACCAGGCCUCGCAGGGUGGGUGCGAGGUCACACCGGUUCAUGAAGGUGGUCGGUCUGCUGGUGCCUCUCCGUCGACUACUCCUGGGACUACUCCCGGUGCCUCUCCGUCGACUUCUCCUGGGCGUACUUCCGGUCCUUCUCCAGGUGGUUCUUUUGCAGCUUCUACCGGAGCGCAACCCCGGGCUGCUCGUUUCGCCAACGAUGUGGGCGGACACACCCCGCCCGGGUCCUUCCUCCGCUAGUUCUGUAUUUGGAUGACAUGGCACUCUCCUCUUGUAUGUGCACCAUGUAUGCUACUAUGUGCACCAUGUAUGCUACUAUGUGCAUUUUAUGCUAUUUAUGUGAAUUAUGGUGAAUUUGGAUGAAUUAUGGUGAAUUUUGAUGAAUUUGGAUGUAUUCGGAUGUAGAACUGCUAAACUGU